UCCUAUUCAUCACUUUGUAUUUUUCUAUGACGUGGAAUUUUCGAGCCAUGCAUUGGCUGGUCCGAGAGAUUAGGUGACCCCGCCUCUGAACAAACCUGUUGAGGAGAUCUCUUUAUAAAGCCCGUUCCAUCCCAUGCACAAGUUCACAUUCUUAUCCGUUUGAUCACCUGCACCACAAAAUGGCUAGUCAUCCCAUUUUGGUAAUUGUCGCCAUAGCUUCUCUAACCACACUCACCUGGGGAAGUGCCUCCGCGUGACUCUCUAAAAACUUCUACUCCAAAAGUUGCCCCAAUGUUUUGAGCACGGUGAAAUCGGUUGUCGCGUCCGCGGUGUCAAAAGAGCGUUGCAUGGGUGCUUCUCUCCUUCGCCUCUUCUUUCAUGAUUGCUUCGUCAAUUGCGGUCUCGGAGGAGGACCGAGCGGUGGUGGUGCUGGUGGAUUAGGCUGAGGAGAGAAGCUUCCAAGCCCCCGCCGCUGGCAAGGGGAUGGCGAUCGGCCUGGGGUUGCUCCGAUUCAGAGGGAGACAAGAUGCGCGUCUGAGCAAGUGGCAGCUGCGCUGAGUACAUUCUGUCUCUGUCUGUGUCUCUCUCCGGGGCGUCGCACCAUUUCGCUAUCUUAACGUAGAUUGGGGGGUGGGCAGCCCGGCACAGUCCACAUCCACCGAGCGUGAGGGUGAGAAAGACAUAUGGGAUGAUCGACGGCGCCCGUUUCAUUGACUAUGCUCAUUUGAAUUGAGAAGUGGGCCGAACCCUAAAAGAAUAUGCUUUAGUUUUGGCUUCUUCGAAUUAAAUGCUUUCUCCCCGUUUUUCCAAGGAAGUUUCCAUCCAUGUCUGCCUCUGUUAUGUAUAGGUUAACACCCAUGCAUACUUUUCCAUCUCCAUGGACUUGCGACGGGACCCUUGACUCUGUGGACUUCACAUUUUCCCUUUGCUUGCCGGUCUUCUCCCGUCAAACGAUGCCCUUUACUUUAAUUGAAUGUUAUCCACAGGUAAUCCUUAGCCUGAUCCAUGCAAUUGCGAGAGGGACGUGCAAGAAAAGAGGGGCCACACCCAUCUUUCCCUUUCUGUCUAGGAAAGAUUCUUUGGCCUCAUGAUUGAACGACCCUGAUUGUGAUAUUGAUAAAUUUUGUUUUUCACCGUACUAUUCUGCUUUCCCUAUUCUUAGUCUC